rnacentral:lncRNA from 1 species
GUGGUCUCUCCUCUUCCCAUACACACCUUACGGUUUCUUCACAGGGUGUGAUGAUGGGAAGCCUAGACACGCUUAUCAGAACCAUUUGGUGGUUUCUAUCAUUAGCAUCUCACUAUGCCAGUAAAUGAGCUGUUGAAGCCUGAAGUAGGGGCUCCUCCUGUAUUGAUUGUUAAGCAUUUCACAACACAUUUUCAAAACAUGCUGAAGGUCAAGAAUGGAUGACUCAUAGGCAGUAACAGUUCCUUCUGCCUCAGUCCCUCGACGUUGAUAGAACACAGAGAACCUAAAAGAAGAAAUUAAAAAAAAAAUAGAGCUUUUGGGAAUAUAUUGGGCUUCUGGUUUUCAAGGACAAUUUUAUGAUAAGUAGCAAUGAUGCCUCAAAAGCUCUGGUAGCUAGCUUGAAUGAACUUAUGUAAUAAACAUUUAUCACAGAACAUGUGUCAUCAAACACCUGCCAGUUCUGAGCGUUGGCACCAAAGCUGCUUUCAUUGUCAAAGAAAAGAGGGGGAAAGGAACUUGGCUGAACAAAGCUGGCAGACGUUUAUACUAGAAAAUUUAGAGGUAAUUUCUAGAGGAACAGAAACACAUUUUCAAAGUCUUAUAAAAUUUAUUUAAAUGUGAUUGGGUGAAUUUAGCAGUUAAAGAAGUGAAGAACACUGAGGUCCAAUUGGUGCCUGAGGCUUCUUCCAGGCCCCUGUCUUUUCUGUCUGCCUUGGGCAUGGAUUUCUAGAUGCCUGGAGAUGGACAGGCCCAGAGGUUGCCCAGAGCGAUGUCUGAGGUUACUGAUCUCUAUCUAGGCUUCCAUAGAAACACAUCCCAAAACGUUCUUGGUUCUUAUUGGAAUCUCAUCUCAUUUGCAGAACAUGGCCAGAGUCAAAGAGACAUGGACCAUGUGUCACUCAGACUGAGUCCAUCCAUACAAAGAGAAUUCUCUAGCCUGUAUUGGAAGUCAAUCUACAUCAGCAUGACAGGGCAUGUAGCCGAAUACGUGGCCACUUCCCUUUGGCUACCCACACAUUUGUGAACUGCAAGAUCUGUUCUUUAUCUACUCAUCUAAUGGUUAUUACUGGGAGAGCAUUGGACUAUAAAUUCUGUUGCACUUGCAGGUGUAAUGACUGUAGAGCAAGUUCACUUGACUGAUGUAACUAAGGUAUCUCUCUUUAGAACCACAGAUGUCAGGAGCAAGGGAGCACCAGUGGUAGAAGAACCUGCCUCCCCUGGCUCCAUCAAAGGCCACAGGCCCAUGAGAAUCACCCGGCCUGCUCUGAGCAGCACACUCGGAGGCCACAGCCGCGCACAGGAAAGUGAGAGGAAGUGGAAACGUGCGAGCAGAGGGCUCAAAGCGACGGGCUCACCACCGCUCAGAAAUAGUGUAACUGAUAUGCAAAGAAGAUCAAAACAA